AAUGCAGUAGCAAAAGGAACUGUAGAAGACAAGAGAUUUGUGAGAAACCAUGAAGAUUCCAGAAUUGUGGCAGAAAAUGGGAAAUUGUGGGAGCAAUAGGGGGCUGUGGGAGAAACACAGAACUCAGGUUCCAGACAUCAGGACGGAAAUGCUAUGCACCAGCCACGUGGCCGUUGAUAAAGCACUUCCAGGGGAGCCGGGGCCCCACCGUCCGCCUGCCUUGGCGGAGGGGCUCUUACCUUCAGACAGCAGGCUCACGGCCUCGUCGGAAGUGUGCCCGCCGGCCCGCACCUCCUUCCUGGCAGCGGGGCUCUCCCGGGGCUCACGGGAGACCCGCAGGGACGGGGGACUCCGCUCGGCGGCCGAGGUGCUCAUCGAUUCCCACUGGAUCUCCUUCCUGGGAGCCUGAAAAGCCGGGCGGCAGCCUGUCCAGCCGUAGAAGGCCAGGGACAACAGGAACCCUUGGGCUGGAUUCAGUAUCCCCUGGCAGGGAGGACAGAGAGACGGGAAGAACAUUUUAAAUUAAGAUAGACCUACCAUCAUGAACCAUGUGGUCUUGGCUGCAUUUCUGACCUGUUUCAAAGAGUCUCCAUUGAUAUCUGGUUGCAUUUCAAGAUAGAAUAAAAGGCUUUCAUUGAUGAUAUUCGACACCCAACUGUUAGAAAGAAAAUGGC